UCGAGGAUCUUCGGCAAUGGGCGCAAGCCUGACCGAGCGACGCCGCGUGUGCGACGAAGGCCUUCGGGUUGUAAAGCACUGUCGAGGGGGAGGAAAGCCCGCAAGGGUCUGACCUAUCCCUGGAGGAAGCACGGGCUAAGUUCGUGCCAGCAGCCGCGGUAAGACGAACCGUGCGAACGUUGUUCGGAAUCACUGGGCUUAAAGGGCGCGUAGGCGGCACAGCAAGUCUGGGGUGAAAUCGUUCAGCUUAACUGGACAAGUGCCUCGGAUACUGCUGCGCUCGAGGGAGGUAGGGGCAGAGGGAACUUCCGGUGGAGCGGUGAAAUGCGUUGAUAUCGGAAGGAACGCCGGUGGCGAAAGCGCUCUGCUGGACCUCUUCUGACGCUGAGGCGCGAAAGCCAGGGGAGCGAACGGGAUUAGAUACCCCCGUAGUCC
rnacentral:rRNA from 1 species